GCAGACACAUUCCAGCCAAUCAGCAGCAGACCCUCCCUCCCAGACCCUCCCACCUCCUGGACAGCAUCCAGCAUCCAUUUUGAAGCUGCAUUCUUAGUGAGCUGUCCAGGAGGUCGGAGGGUCUGGGAGGGAGGGUCUGCUGCUGAUUGGCUGGAAUGUGUCUG